UUGUUGGAGAGUGAUACCAUGUCAGAAGUGAUUCUAGGUAUGUAUUGUUGGAGAGUGAAUCCAUGUCAGAAGUGCUUCUAGGUAUGUAUUGUUGGAGAGUGAUACCAUGUCAGAAGUGGUUCUAGGUAUAUAUUGUUGGAGAGUGAUACCACGUCAGAAGUGGUUCUAGCUUUGUAUUGUUGGAGAGAGUGAUACCAUGUCAGAAGUGGUUCUAGGUAUGAAUUGUUGGAGAGAGUGAUACCAUGUCAGAAGUGGUUCUAGGUAUGUAUUGUUAGAGAGUGAUACCAUGUCAGAAGUGGUUCAAGCUAUGUAUUGUUGGAGAGAGUGAUACUAUGUCAGAAGUGGUUCCAGGUAUGUAUUGUUGGAGAGAGUGAUACCACAUCAGAAGUGGUUGCUAUGUAUGUAUUGUUGGAGAGUGAUACCAUGUCAGAAGUGGUUCUAGGUAUGUAUUGUUGGAGAGUGAUACCAUGUCAGAAGUGGUUCUAGGUAUGUAUUAUUGGAGAGAGUGAUACCAUGUCAGAAGUGGUUCUAGGUAUGUAUUCUGGAGAGAGUGAUACCAUGUCAGAAGUGGUUCUAGGUAUGUAUUGUUGGAGAGAGUGAUACCAUGUCAGAAGUGGUUCUAGGUAUGUAUUGUUGGAGAG
rnacentral:lncRNA from 1 species